GGCUUAACACAUGCAAGUCGAACGCCGUAGCAAUACGGAGUGGCAGACGGGUGAGUAACGCGUGGGAACGUGCCUUUUGGUUCGGGACAACUGAGGGAAACUUCAGCUAAUACCGGAUAAGCCCCGAGGGGGAAAGAUUUAUCGCCAAAAGAUCGGCCCGCGUCAGAUUAGGUAGUUGGUGGGGUAAUGGCCUACCAAGCCGAUGAUCUGUAGGUGGUCUGAGAGGAUGAUCACCCACACUGGGACUGAGACACGGCCCAGACUCCUACGGGAGGCAGCAGUGGGGAAUAUUGGACAAUGGGGGAAACCCUGAUCCAGCCAUGCCGCGUGGUUGUUUAAGGCCCUAGGGUUGUAAAGUCC
rnacentral:rRNA from 1 species